AUCCUGGCUCAGGAUGAACGCUAGCGGCAGGCUUAACACAUGCAAGUCGAGGGGUAGAGGAAGCUUGCUUCCUUGAGACCGGCGCACGGGUGCGUAACGCGUAUGCAAUCUACCUUAUACAGGGGGAUAGCCCAGAGAAAUUUGGAUUAAUACCCCAUAGUAUAAUUGAAUGGCAUCAUUUAAUUAUUAAAGUUCCAACGGUAUAAGAUGAGCAUGCGUCCCAUUAGCUAGUUGGUGUGGUAACGGCACACCAAGGCGACGAUGGGUAGGGGUCCUGAGAGGGAGAUCCCCCACACUGGUACUGAGACACGGACCAGACUCCUACGGGAGGCAGCAGUGAGGAAUAUUGGUCAAUGGGCGCAAGCCUGAACCAGCCAUGCCGCGUGCAGGAUGACGGUCCUAUGGAUUGUAAACUGCUUUUGUACAGGAAGAAACACUCCCUCGUGAGGGAGCUUGACGGUACUGUAAGAAUAAGGAUCGGCUAACUCCGUG
rnacentral:rRNA from 1 species